AUACAAACAAACCUUAGGUUUAUGUGUCCAAUAUUUGACCGUCCGUCUUAUUUGAAAAAAUUAUGGAAAAAAAUUAAAAAGACAAGUCACACAUAAAGUAUUAAUCAUGUUUUAUCAUCUAACAACAAUAAAAAUACUAAUUAUAAAAAAAUUUCAUAUAAGACAGACAGUUAAACGUUGAACACGGAAACCCAGGGUUUGUCUUUUU
rfam:Oryza glumipatula chromosome 1, whole genome shotgun sequence.